AUUGAACGCUGGCGGCAUGCCUUACACAUGCAAGUCGAACGGCAGCACGGGAGCAAUCCUGGUGGCGAGUGGCGAACGGGUGAGUAAUAUAUCGGAACGUGCCCAGUAGUGGGGGAUAACUGCUCGAAAGAGCGGCUAAUGCCGCAUACGACCUGAGGGUGAAAGCGGGGGACCGCAAGGCCUCGCGCGAUAGGAGCGGCCGAUGUCUGAUUAGCUAGUUGGUGGGGUAAAGGCCUACCAAGGCGACGAUCAGUAGCUGGUCUGAGAGGACGAUCAGCCACACUGGGACUGAGACACGGCCCAGACUCCUACGGGAGGCAGCAGUGGGGAAUUUUGGACAAUGGGGGCAACCCUGAUCCAGCAAUGCCGCGUGUGUGAAGAAGGCCUUCGGGUUGUAAAGCACUUUUGUCCGGAAAGAAAACGCUCUGGUUAAUACCCGGAGCGGAUGACGGUACCGGAAGAAUAAGCACCGGCUAACUACGUGCCAGCAGCCGCCGUAAGAC
rnacentral:rRNA from 1 species